rnacentral:rRNA from 1 species
UGGCUCAGGACGAACGCUGGCGGCGUGCCUAAUACAUGCAAGUCGUGCGAAGCAGAUCUCGUGGCUUGCCAUGGGAUUGACUGAGCGGCGGACGGGUGAGUAACACGUGGGUAAUCUGCCUACAAGACCGGGACAACUCUGGGAAACCGGGGGCUAAUACCGGACGGACCCUCGGGAUGAUGUUCCGAGGGGGAAGGUGGCCUCUGCUUGCAAGCUACCGCUUGUAGAUGAGCCCGCGGCCCAUUAGCUAGUUGGUGGGGUAAAGGCCUACCAAGGCGACGAUGGGUAGCCGGUCUGAGAGGAUGACCGGCCACACUGGGACUGAGACACGGCCCAGACUCCUACGGGAGGCAGCAGUCGGGAAUAUUGGGCAAUGGACGAAAGUCUGACCCAAGCGACGCCGCGUGGGGGACGAAGGCCUUCGGGUCGUAAACCCCUGUCUUCGGGGACGAACGGUGGAUGGGACAACACCCCAUCCAAGUGACGGUACCCGAGGAGGAAGCCCCGGCUAACUACGUGCCAGCCGCCGC